UUUCUCGCAUCGAUGAAGAACGCAGCGAAAUGCGAUAAGUAGUGUGAAUUGCAGAAUUCAGUGAUCAUCGAAUCUUUGAACGCACAUUGCGCCCCUUGGUAUUCCAUGGGGCAUGCCUGUUCGAGCGUCAUUUGUACCCUCAAGCUCUGCUUGGUGUUGGGUGUUUGUCCACUAUCGUGGACUCGCCUUAAAGUCAUUGGCAGCCAGUGUUUUGGUAUUGAAGCGCAGCACAUUUUGCGCCUCUAGCCUAGAACACUAGCGUCCAGUAAGCCUUUUUCCACUUUUGACCUCGGAUCAGGUAGGGAUACCCGCUGAACUUAAGCAUAUCAAUAAGCGGAGGA
rnacentral:rRNA from 1 species